rnacentral:rRNA from 1 species
UACGUACGAGGCGAGCGUUAUCCGGAAUUACUGGGCGUAAAGCGCGCGCAGGUGGUGCCGUAAGUUGGGCGUGAAAUCUCCCGGCCUAACUGGGAGGGGUCGCCCAAGACUGCGGGACUUGAGGCUGGCAGAGGUAGGUGGAAUUCCUGGUGUAGUGGUGAAAUGCGUAGAGAUCAGGAGGAACACCGGUGGCGAAGGCGGCCUACUGGGCCAGCACUGACGCUGAGGCGCGAAAGCUCGGGGAGCGAACGGG